AAAAGCACCAAAGUCUACAGCUUAACUCUUUUUUUAGGUAACUUGUCAUAGAGAUGCUUUGCAUCUUAAUGUACUUUAAUAUUUGUCCUUACAUUUUGUGCAUUUGGUCUUGUUUAUGUUCAGAUGUCAUAAUUUCCUAUGUUGUCUUCCAACAACUUCCUCUGAACCAAGUCUUGGCUCAAUUCUUUCCUUCCUAUGAUCUCAGCUCCCCAGAAACUUCUAAAACUAUCACCUCCACACAGAGGCCUUCCUGACUAUAUGUUCCAAAAUAGCAUCUCCAGUCUCUCUCCAGUUCCUUUCCCUGUUUUACACUUGUAUAUAGUAUUUAUCACUCUCUGACGUUCCCUUACAUAUUACCUUGUUUAUUGUCUUUCACUCUAUCUAGAAUAUAAGCUUCAUAACACAGAGACUUGUUCCUGGGUGGGUCUAGGGUCAACAACAAUGCAUGGCCAAUAGUAGGAGCCCAAUAAAUAUUUGCUAGAUGAAUGAAUGAAUCUGCCUUUCUGUCUCUGUUCUUCUUUCUUCCUAUUAAUAUUCUCUCCACUAAUCGUGUACAUCCUUCAGUGGCUGGUGCACUGCCAAUGUACCAAGAUAUUUCAGUCUUUUGUUUUUAGUUCAAUCCCACAUUUCCACUGUAUAAAAGGCUGCCCCUAUGUCUCACACUUUCCGUUAACAGCAUUUUAUUUUCUACAAAGUAAAAAACUCAAAAUUUGGUUCCCUUUGCUGCCAACUCUUACCACAUAUUCUCCCCAAAUUUUUCAGCCUUUUGUCACUGUUUAUCAUUCUUAAUAUAACUCAGAAUAACCCACCUUAAGUUUGAAGUGAGCAUUGCCAUUUACAAAGUAUUUUACCACCAAUGAUCUUAACUCCUAAAACCUUACAAAACUGGGUAUUUAUCUAAAGAAAUGAAGCUUAUGGGCUGGGCACAGUGGCUCACGCCUGUAAUCUCAGCACUUUGGGAGGCUGAGGUGGGUGGAUCACA
rnacentral:lncRNA from 10 species